GGGGGUUUGGCUCAGUGGUAGAGUGCGUGCUUGGCAUGCAUAAGGUCCUGGGUUCAAUCUCCAAUGCCUCUA
rnacentral:tRNA from 1 species